UACGUAGGGCGCAAGCGUUAUCCGGAAUUAUUGGGCGUAAAGAGCUCGUAGGUGGCUUGUCACGUCGGGUGUGAAAGCUUGGGGCUUAACUCCAGGUCUGCAUUCGAUACGGGCUGGCUAGAGGUAGGUGGGGGAGAACGGAAUUCCUGGUGUAGCGGUGAAAUGCGCAGAUAUCAGGAGGAACACCGGUGGCGAAGGCGGUUCUCUGGGCCUUACCUGACGCUGAGGAGCGAAAGCGUGGGGAGCGAACAGG
rnacentral:rRNA from 1 species